CACUCAACACCCCAGAAACCGUGGCAACCAUGAAUCACCUCACCCUCCUUUUCUGGACAGUGGUCUGUGGAUCCUUAACAGGAACCAGCAGUCAGGUGACUGUGACUCAGAAACCAGUAGUGUCCUUUACUCCAGGAUCCACAGUCACUCUGACCUGUAAAACAAACCCAGCGGUUUAUAGACAUUCUUCUUUAGGUGAUUAUCUAUUCUGGUACCAACAGAAACCUGGAGAAGCCCCCAAGCUCAUCAUGAAAUAUGCAAACAAACUUGUAUCACCAACACCGGCUCGGUUUAGUGGCAGUGGAAGCAGCACUGACUUCUCUCUGACCAUCAGCGGUGCCCAGCGUGAAGAUGCAGCAGUUUAUCACUGUCAGAGUUUCCACUCCCUAAACAGUGUCAGAGUGUUCACACAGCACCGUGGAGGCACCAAACUCAUUGUUGACUUGGGAGUGGUGCAGCCCACGCUGAGCGUCCUCCCUCCCUCCAGAGUGGAGCUGGAGCAGGGCAGUGCUACACUAGUGUGUGUGGCCAGUGGGGGCUUCCCCUCAGACUGGAAGCUUGGCUGGAAGGUGGGGAGCAGCAGCAGGUCUGGGGGGGUGUCAGAUAGCCUGGGGGUCCUGGGGAAAGAUGGCCACUACAGCUGGAUCAGCACCUUGACCCUCCCUGCAGACCAGUGGAGGAAGGCGGGCUCAGUGAGCUGUGAGGCCAGUAAGAAUGGCCAGACGCAGCCUGUCACUCAAACCCUGAAUCCUGGAGAGUGUUCAGAGUAG